CCCACUGCACCCCAUAGCACCCCGUGACACCCCAUGGCACACUGUGACACCCCAUGGCACGCUGUGGCACCCAUUGCACCCUAUAGCACCUCGUGCCACCCCCCCAGCAGCCUGGGCACCCAUUGCACCCCCUGGCACCCACUGCACCCCAUACCACCCCGUGACACCCCAUAGCACCCCAUGGCACACUGUGACACCCCAUAGCACCCCAUGGCACCCACUGCACCCCAUAGCACACUGUGACACCCCAUAGCACCCCAUGGCACCCACAGCACCCCAUAGCACCCAUUACACCCCAUAGCGUGCUGCAACACCCCCUGGCACCCAUUGCACACCCUGGCACCCCACAGCACCCCAUGGCACCCCAUGAUACCCCACUGUACCCACUGCACCCCAUAGCCCCCCCAUGCUACCCUGUAGCACCCUCUGCACCCCCUGGCACCCACUGCGCCCCACGGCACCUCGUGGCACCCCCAGACACCCAGAACCUCCCCUGGCACCCCCAACACCCCUGGGCACCUAUUGCACCCCAUGGCACCCACACCAGCACCCGGGACCCCCCCACACACCCCGUACCCAUGGGGUGAGGGGACAUGGGGGGCCACCACGGCCAUGGGGACACUAUGGGCACGGCCAGGCACUCGGGGGUGCCCGGAGAUCAUGGGUGGCCGCGGCUGGACACGGGUGCCCAGCAGUCACGGGUCCACGGGUGGUCACAGGUGCUCGGUGGUCACGGGUCACCGGUGGUCACGGGUGGACACGGGUGGUCCCAGGUGGACACGGGGACACGGACGCUGGGCGGCGGCGGUGGCAUCAGUCGGAGUCGCUGGAGGAGGACGAGGAGGAGGACGAAGAGCG
rnacentral:lncRNA from 1 species